AUCUUUUGAUCACCUGAGAGAUCAGGUUUCCCCUUCGGGGGCAAAAUGACAGGUGGUGCAUGGUUGUCGUCAGCUCGUGUCGUGAGAUGUUGGGUUAAGUCCCGCAACGAGCGNAACCCUUAUGACUAGUUGCCAGCAUUUAGUUGGGCACUCUAGUAAGACUGCGUNNAACGAAGGUGGGGAUGACGUCAAAUCAUCAUGCCCCUUAUGACCUGGGCUACACACGUGCUACAAUGGAUGGUACAACGAGUUGCGAGACCGCGAGGUCAAGCUAAUCUCUUAAAGCCAUUCUCAGUUCGGACUGUAGGCUGCAACUCGCCUACACGAAGUCGGAAUCGCUAGUAAUCGCGGAUCAGCACGCCGCGGUGAAUACGUUCCCGGGCCUUGUACACACCGCCCGUCACACCAUGAGAGUUUGUAACACCCGAAGCCGGUGGCGUAACCCUUUUAGGGAGCGAGCCGUCUAAGGUGGGACAAAUGAUUAGGGUGAAGUCGUAACAAGGUAGCCGUAGGAGAACCUGCGGCUGGAUCACCUCCUUUCU
rnacentral:rRNA from 2 species